CCAGCUGCAGCCACUUAAAUAAUUCUUGGAGGACCCAAUGUUUAUCCCUUAGCCUCCUUCCUCUAACCCAUCUUCAAUGUCCUUCGAAGCAUUGGUUUGGCACUUGACUUCGUAGCCCCUUUUUUCUGACCCAGUUUUAUUGACUCUGGAAUUUGGAGGAUUGUUGUUUUGUUGUAUAUUGAGGGUUAGGGUUUUAGAGCCAUUGAAGAUUCCCCCUUGAUUUAACCAAGGUGGUGAUCAACUGAUCAAUUGCAACUACAAUCCGAACCACCCCAUUUAUCCAUUUUUUGUUUAUUGGGUGAAGGGUUCAAUGGCUUCCAUUAAAGACAAUGACUAUGCUUCCAAUGCUCUUUCCUAGACAAAAAACGAGUACAAGGAUCCGGAUUGGAAGUUGUGCAAUGCUUCGCCAACACUACUUACUGCCACUAUUUCGCACAAAAUCGCUAUUUCAAAGAUGAUGCAUUUAUUGGAUACUUGAAAUGCAUCUUCAAUCCUGGCAAUGGCCAGAGUACGUAAAAUUUAUCAUGUCAGGCUCAUUGCCUGAGGGCCAUUAGCAGCCGGACAAUUUCACAUGGGGAAGGGUUGAAUCAUCUUAUUGUUGGAGAAAACUAAACCAUGAAGACGGAUUUGUAAUGGGGGGCACUAGACUGAAAUUUUUAGUGUCGUUUGGUACUCUUAAAACACUACUACUUUCUUAUUUUCUUCUCGUUUUGAAGUAAUUUUCUACCUUUUCGGGAAAGGAAAAAUCCAAGUCCACGCUGAAGAUGAUCUGGUAUUGGCGUAUCGUAAUUGCAACCGUGCAUAAUCACCGCUGACAACGUGAAUGUUUCUAAAAGUCUCUCAAUAUUAUUGUCAUAA